rnacentral:rRNA from 1 species
CCUACGGGAGGCUGCAGUGGGGAAUAUUGCACAAUGGGGGAAACCCUGAUGCAGCGACGCCGCGUGAGUGAAGAAGUAAUUCGUUAUGUAAAGCUCUAUCAGCAGGGAAGAAAAUGACGGUACCUGAGUAAGAAGCCCCGGCUAACUACGUGCCAGCAGCCGCGGUCAUACGUAGGGGGCAAGCGUUAUCCGGAUUUACUGGGUGUAAAGGGAGCGUAGACGGCAGUGCAAGUCUGGAGUGAAAGUCGGGGGCACAACCCCCGGACUGCACUGGAAACUGUACGGCUGGAGUGCAGGAGAGGAAAGUGGAAUUCCUAGUGUAGCGGUGAAAUGCGUAGAUAUUAGGAGGAACACCAGUGGCGAAGGCGGCUUACUGGACUGUAACUGACGUUGAGGCUCGAAAGCGUGGGGAGCAAACAGGAUUAGAUACCCCAGUAGUC